GUGCUCCUAGCUGCUGAUUUGUUGAGCCUUGCCUUUACUAUGAAACUAAGAUACUAUGUUGUUUGACUUUUGUAGUGAGAAUUAUGGAGCUUUGAAUAUUGAGCAAUGGCCAAUGAAAUAGAUGCAGAAGAGUGAGUCGGUUUGGAAUUUAAUUCAAUGGUGUGAAACGGUGCUGGCUUGGCAUCGUGUGCUUGUGCAAGUUUUGAAUUUUCAUUGGCUAGUGUUUGAGACUCAAGGGUAUUGACUUUGGAGAGGUCGCUGAAAAUGUGAAGUGCAUUGUAUUGGCUUGGUAUAGAAAUUCUCAACUGAAUAUUCUUUUU